rnacentral:misc_RNA from 1 species
ACCCAUUGAGGAUUUUUAAAUCCGGGUUCUGCUAUUCGUCCUUGUCCUUUGUAGCUCGACAUCACACCAAGUUCAUCUGGAUAGAUUCCACGGUUCAUUAGACGAUUCCCUUUGCCAAUUUUAGCACGAAAGGUUACCUGUCCAGCAGGAACGUUUAGGUCGCCAGUCAAUUUCACAGCUUCAACAUACUCAAAGAAUUCAAUCUCGGAGUCACCAUUGCUUUCAUUUGUAUCAUUCCAGUGACCAAACUUGCGCCGCAAUUGUACCACCUCAGUGCCAUAGGGA